UGAGGCUGGGGUAGGUGACAAGAAAAAGGAGUUGGAUCCCAAUGGACUUUGGUUUGAAGACAAUGGAGUCAUUCGCAACAUGACUAAAUGCUUCAAGCAACAUUUCCAUCAUCCAUGGAGGAACUAUUCGCAGGUUGAUGACGAUACAAAAAACCUUUGGUUCUCUAUUUUCAAGGGCUCAUAUAAAUGGAGGGAGGAGCUUCAAUCCCAAGUGAGGUCUACAUACGACAGGAAAAUGGCCAAAAGAUUGAAAGAUAAUCACCACUCGAUAGUAAAGAAGAAGGGUGGUGUUUGUCCGACAUGGUUGUC